UACGGAGGGUGCAAGCGUUGUCCGGAUUUAUUGGGUUUAAAGGGUGCGUAGGCGGCCCGGUAAGUCAGUGGUGAAAGCCUCCAGCUCAACUGGAGAACUGCCAUUGAUACUGCCGGGCUUGAGUACAGACGAGGUUGGCGGAAUUGAUUGUGUAGCGGUGAAAUGCGCAGAUAUCGGGAGGAACACCAAUGGCGAAGGCAGCUCGCUGGGAAGGUACUGACGCUGAGACGCGAAAGCGUGGGGAGCAAACAGG
rnacentral:rRNA from 1 species